CCGGGAGGCGUAGUCCGUCCGCCCCGCCUCAGCGCCCCGGUCUGCGGGCUCCCGGCCGGGACGGCGCUGCUUGCUGGGCUCCGUCGGGCGGCGGAGUCUCGGAGAGCGGAGGGACAGCGGGUCCGCGUGGGACCCCGCGGUAGCGGCUCCUCGUGGGGCUAAAAGCUCAGAAGUCCUUCUCAGAACGCCGAGUGGGCCGUCUUUACUGCAGAUGACGCUGUGAGGUACGCCAAGGAGAGCGCACAGGGAGAACAAAAGGACCCAGGGCUCACCCUUAACUCCAGAUGGCUUUGUUUUGUUGCUUUUGAUGAAGAGGAGGAGGAAAAAAGAGGAGGUAGCGGCCACACACACCGACCUUUUGCUGUAAACACCAAAGGAGCUAUGGAGGCUGUCGGAGGUCUGCACCCCUGCCUGGAAAACAUGAGCAGCAGCUAGAAAGCAAUCCUAGCAAAAAUCUGCAUCAUUCAUGCGUAAUCAGACAAUGCUUGGGAGACUUACGAAGGAGGAGGGAGGGAGGGCAGGCGGACAAGAAAACUCACAGUGCUGCAUCAUUUACAUUAUUUCUAGUUGCUCUGCAAGUGUCGCUUUUAGGUUUAAAAUGCAGCUUACUAAGCUACCCUGGGCUAUUUUCCUAAGCUACUGGAUUCCUGUGUCAGCCUCUAAAGGGCACCACACGGUGUCAGCAUUCCCCUCCAUGCACUGAAUAUGAAAGGAGCCAAAACCUGUGUAAAGUCACCAGGGUCACUAUUGCUAAGAAAAGCAGCUGUCUGGAGCAAACAUUCUUCCUGACCUUCAAGAAAAUGUCAGAGGUACAAGGCAGCCUGGUUCUUCAUGGCUACCAUAUGAGCAGACAGGCUUAUAACAGGGUUUGAUAAUCUCUGUGUUGCAGAACAUUUAAUCAGCAUACUGAAACAUUAGCCAGAGAGACAAAAUUGAAAAGUUCAUUGUGGCUGGUGCUGUGGGAAUGACAAUCUCCAAUAAACCUAGAAUUUUGUUUCAGACAUCUUCAAAUCAAGUCUAAUAAGCAACAACCACAGUUUCCUGGACAGCCCUAUUUCACUUCUUAUGGACUACACCACCCCUGGCAACCAUUUACAGCCUUUCACUUAAGCUGUUUCAUCUUGGAUAUUCAAUGCAUUUGACUCAAAACUUUUCCACUGCAUAGUACAGGUCAUCAGACUUGUUGAACAAAAGCUCCCUGGUUCCCUUCUGAGAGUGAAUUCAUAAACAGCAUUUUGAAUGAGCAGCUAGUUCAUCAUCAAUCUGCUGCAAGCAAGGUACUAAGACCAAAUCAGGCAUGCACAAAACCUAGACUUGAAG